rnacentral:rRNA from 1 species
AGAGUUUGAUCCUGGCUCAGGAUGAACGCUAGCUACAGGCUUAACACAUGACAAGUCGGAGGGGAAACGACAGUACGAAAGCUUGCUUUUGAUGGGCGUCGACCGGCGCACGGGUGAGUAACGCAUAUCCAACCUCGCCCACCACUUGGGGAGUAACCUUGCGAAAGUAAGACUAAUACCCAACUGAUAUCUCUAGAAGACAUCUGAAAGAGAUUAAAGAUUUAUCGGUGAUGGAUGGGGAUGCGUCUGAUUAGCUUGUUGGCGGGGUAACGGCCCACCAAGGCAACGAUCAGUAGGGGUUCUGAGAGGAAGGUCCCCCACAUUGGAACUGAGACACGGUCCAAACUCCUACGGGAGGCAGCA